rnacentral:rRNA from 1 species
AUUGAACGCUGGCGGCAGGCCUAACACAUGCAAGUCGAGCGAGCGGCGGACGGGUGAGUAAUGUAUGGGGACUGCCCGAAAGAGGGGGAUAACUACUGGAAACGGUGGCUAAUACCGCAUACUAUCGGAUAACCCAUAUGGGAUUAGCUAGUAGGGGGGGUAAAGGCUCACCUAGGCGACGAUCUCUAGCUGGUAUGAGAGGAUGACCAGCCAACCUGGGAAGGAGACACGGCCCAGCCUCCUACGGACGCAGCACUGGGGAAUAUUGCACAAUGGGCUCAAGCCUGAUGCAGCCAUGCCGCGUGUAUGAAGAAGGCCUUAGGGUUGUAAAGUACUUUCAGCGUGGAGGCGUUACCCGCAGAAGAAGCACCGGCUAACUCCGUGCCAGCCGCCGCGGUAAUAC